GAUGAACGCUAGCGGCAGGCCUAACACAUGCAAGUCGAGGGGUAACUAGAGUGAUAGCAAUAUUACUUUGGCUAGACCGGCGCACGGGUGCGUAACACGUAUGCAACCUACCUUAUACUGGGGAAUAACUUCGAGAAAUCGGCGCUAAUACCCCAUAACAUUGCGAAGAGGCAUCUCUUAGCAAUUAAAGCUCCGGCGGUAUAAGAUGGGCAUGCGUCCAAUUAGCUAGUUGGUGAGGUAACGGCUCACCAAGGCUACAAUUGGUAGGGGUUCUGAGAGGAUGAUCCCCAACACUGGUACUGCGACACGGACCAGACUCCUACGGGAGGCAGCAGUGAGGAAUAUUGCGCAAUGGACGAAAGUCUGACGCAGCCAUGCCGCGUGCAGGAUGACGGCCCUAUGGGUUGUAAACUGCUUUUGUACGGGAAUAAACCCUUCUACGUGUAGGAGGCUGAAGGUACCGUAAGAAUAAGCACCGGCUAACUCCGUGCCAGCCGCCGCCGUAAAAC
rnacentral:rRNA from 1 species